GCAAACUUGGUCAUUUAGAGGAAGUAAAAGUCGUAACAAGGUUUCCGUAGGUAUGUAUAUCGAAAACCCGGCUAUGAAAAGUUAUAAAGUCUCAAAACUAACGUGCACUCUAGGUGAACCUGCGGAAGGAUCAUUACCGGGAAUUGGCCCUCGGGCCUAUCCUUCACCCAUUGUUAUAACCAACCUGGUUUCUUUGGCGGGCUUUCCCGUCAGAAGUAAUCUUCAACUCGUUUGAAUCAUGUCGUCUGAAAAUGAAAAUUCAAUCAAAACAAAACUUUCAACAACGGAUCUCUUGGUUCUGGCAUCGAUGAAGAACGCAGC
rnacentral:misc_RNA from 1 species